UACGUAGGGUGCAAGCGUUGUCCGGAAUUAUUGGGCGUAAAGAGCUCGUAGGCGGUUUGUCGCGUCGAAUGUGAAAACCCGGGGCUCAACCCCGGGCCUGCAUUCGAUACGGGCAGACUAGAGUUCGGUAGGGGAGUCUGGAAUUCCUGGUGUAGCGGUGAAAUGCGCAGAUAUCAGGAGGAACACCGGCGGCGAAGGCGGCACUCUGGGCCGGUACUGACGCUGAGGAGCGAAAGCGUGGGUAGCAAACAGG
rnacentral:rRNA from 1 species